UUUCUCAAUAAACCGAAGGCUUGAUUGGGUUAACAUCAACUUGCCUUCGUCUCUUUUUGUCUCCCCCAUGUCUUUUAUUUAAUCCCCGUUUCUCUUCCAGGAGUUCCGAACUUGUUGAUCUGCAGGCCGGAUCAAGUGGCGCUCAGCGUGGGAGCCCCUGGCACGGAGAAGUUAACGAGGGAGCCGUUCGAGAGACAGCCGGCUUAAACCGAAAGUGAAAGCAAAUUGAACCAGAGACCUCGGCCGAGGAAUGAGUAAACUGAAUCAAGGAUUAAAGUUUAAAGCAACAGGACAUUAAAUCAAGUGCCGAGACCUGCGCAGACGACUACCCGACGUCCUGCCCGAGUCACGGUGACACAUCUCCCUGGAGCCUUAUGCUGCUUAACCAGCCUUCUUGAGCCACACCACACCCAUGGUGGAUUUUGACCCCUGCCAAACAGACUGCAACUGCUGACAGCCAUGCACAGAACCCCAUGACUGUGGAAGAGGCUCUUCUCGGUCUGGAGGAACAUACACCAGCCAAAUAGACUGCAUCCAGUGUUAUACAAGGCAUGCUCCAAGACACAGGAGAAUGACUUCAUACAGAGACACCAACAAAUGACUGUCAACCCCUUCUCCUUGAUUUUGGGGGGGGGAGUUUUUCCCUUACCUAGUCCCACUUUUGGGUCCCCUAGCUGACUUAUUGUUUCUCAUUUCUGUGAGUCUUGUAUUUUUCAGAGGAUUAUGAUGUUCAUUAAUAACCGGAUAGACGCAUUUAUGGCAAAGCCCAUUCAGGUACACUACCAUCAGCUGGAGAUGACAGAUCAACAAACCUACAGGGAAGGAAUUCCCACGAGUGGCCCAUAUGAUGAUGCGGCCUGACUGCCCUGGGGCAAUGGACAGGCAGUCAGAGACGGGCAACUAGGACAUGCAUGUUAAUUCCAACGGCCACCUAAGACAGGCACAGGACCAACUGCUGUUCUGCAAGCCCAUGACGGGUAAGGCCUGGUUGGGUUCAUGCAAUGAGGUCCUUGACCUAAGACAGACGCUGUCCUCACAGGGCCUGCCAUACUCUUAAUUAAAUAAUAUAAAAAGGGAGGAGAUGUAGGGAGCCGAGUGACAGGCAUUGCUGCCUAGAUGUCUCUCUCUCUCUCUCCUAUGGGCACUGCGUCUGCCUACAUUAACCAUAAUCCUCUUCUGCUUACGUCACUUAUCCGGAUGUGAUGGUAACCCUGUUGUAUUCAUCUGUUUAACCUCUUCCUGUCCCAGCUCCCGCCCUUAGCCUAUAAAAGGUGUGAUUAUUUUCUCAAUAAACCGGAGGCUUGAUUGGGUUAACAUCAA